rnacentral:lncRNA from 1 species
AGCAUCCUAUUGGAGAUAAUGGAGUAAGUAUCCCUAAUUGAUUUAAAUUUGGAUUACUUACUUGAUUGAAGUCAAUCUUCAAUUGAGGAAUGUAUUAAAGAUAGGAUUUGGGUAAUUAAUCAUUAUCUUUAAUGCUUUAACUUUUCCUUGCCAAUAGUCCAUUUAAUGAGAGCAAUCUUGUCUUUCUUAAACAAAAAUUCACGUGUCGUCUCUAGAAUUUUUAAAAUUAUUUCAGCCCCAUACUCAUAUUAUAGGAUGUGAGACGGUGGCAUUGCAGAAAGGAUUGAUACC